rnacentral:rRNA from 1 species
UGGGGAAUUUUGGACAAUGGGCGAAAGCCUGAUCCAGCAAUGCCGCGUGUGUGAAGAAGGCCUUCGGGUUGUAAAGCACUUUUGUCCGGAAAGAAAUCCUUGGCUCUAAUACAGUCGGGGGAUGACGGUACCGGAAGAAUAAGCACCGGGCUAACUACGUGCCAGCAGCCGCGGUAAUACGUAGGGUGCAAGCGUUAAUCGGAAUUACUGGGCGUAAAGCGUGCGCAGGCGGUUUGCUAAGACCGAUGUGAAAUCCCCGGGCUCAACCUGGGAACUGCAUUGGUGACUGGCAGGCUAGAGUAUGGCAGAGGGGGGUAGAAUUCCACGUGUAGCAGUGAAAUGCGUAGAGAUGUGGAGGAAUACCGAUGGCGAAGGCAGCCCCCUGGGCCAAUACUGACGCUCAUGCACGAAAGCGUGGGGAGCAAACAGGAUUAGAUACCCUGGUAGUCCACGCCCUAAACGAUGUCAACUAGUUGUGGGGAUUCAUUUCCUAGUAACGUAGCUAACGCGUGGAGUUGACCGCCUGGGGAGUACGGUCGCAAGAUUAAACUC